CUGUCCGCAGCUGGAGUAUUUUAUUACCCUUGUCUUUUGCGCACUUGUUGUUUCCUGGGCGGGUUCGCUCGCCACCAGGACCACCAAAUAAACCUUUUUUAUGCAGUUGCAAUCAGCGUCAGUACAAACAAUGUAAAUCAUUUACAACUUUCAACAACGGAUCUCUUGGUUCUGGCAUCGAUGAAGAACGCAGCGAAAUGCGAUACGUAGUGUGAAUUGCAGAAUUCAGUGAAUCAUCGAAUCUUUGAACGCACAUUGCGCCCUUUGGUAUUCCAAAGGGCAUGCCUGUUCGAGCGUCAUUUGUACCCUCAAGCUUUGCUUGGUGUUGGGCGUUUUUGUCUUUGGUCGCCCAAAGACUCGCCUUAAAGUGAUUGGCAGCCGGCCUUUCUGGUUUCGCAGCGCAGCACAUUUUUGCGCUUGCCAUCAGCAAAACGGCAAUCCAUCAAGCCUCCUUCUCACGUUUGACCUCGGAUCAGGUAGGGAUACCCGCUGAACUUAAGCAUAUCAAUAAGCGGAGGAA
rnacentral:rRNA from 1 species